CCUACGGGAUGCAGCAGUGGGGAAUUUUGGGCAAUGGGCGCAAGCCUGACCCAGCAACGCCGCGUGAAGGAAGACGGCUUUCGGGUUGUCAACUUCUUUUUUCAGGGACGAAACAAGUGACGGUACCUGACGAAUAAGCCACCGCUAACUACGUGCCAGCAGCCGCGGUAAUACGUAGGUGGCAAGCGUUAUCCGGAUUUCAUUGGUGUAAAGGGCGUGUAGGCGGGACUGCAAGUCAGAUGUGAAAACCACGGGCUCAACCUGUGGCCUGCAUUUGAAACUGUAGUUCUUGAGUACUGGAGAGGCAGACGGAAGUCCUAGUGUAGCGGUGAAAUGCGUAGAUAUUAGGAGGAACACCAGUGGCGAAGGCGGGCUGCUGGACAGCAACUGACGCUGAGGCGCGAAAGCGUGGGGAGCAAACAGGAUUAGAUACCCGAGUAGUC
rnacentral:rRNA from 1 species